CAAAAAGGCUGCUGCUGAUUAUUCUACUUAUCAACCACCACCACUUGAAGGAGCUUCUGCUUAAGUCAGAGGCUGGUCAUAUGAGACCUUACCAAAGAGAGAUGCUACACGUUUUUUUUCGUGCAGUGAAAAAGUUUGGAAACGAUAGCCAAAUGAGGUUGAUAGCUGCAGAGGUUGGUGGGUCUGUUGAAGCUGCUCCAGUAGAUGCUUUUUGAUGUUUUAUUAGAUGGUUGCAGAGAAGCAGUUAAAGGAAGACUAUGGACCCUAAGGGCCAUUGUUGGAUUUUUUUGGUGUUCCUGUGAAGGCUGAUGAUGUAUUAAAAGAAAGAGCUUCUCAACUUCUUCAAAUGAGGUAUUGACUAUGCUGUUGCUAACAAUGAAAUCUCUGGAAGAGCUCCAGAUCUUCCCUAUUUGAUAAAACAGGAAACUUCAAGCACGGAUAAAAGAUCUUGAAGAUGAAAGAGCAGAACAAGCUAAUGAGAUGAAGCAAUGUAAAGAGUAUAUAUUUGAACUUGUAAUCCAUGCAGAAGCUCAAGCUUUAUAGUAUCAGCAGAAGUUCAAGUCGUUGGAAUCAAUGGUUAGUUUAAUGAAGACAGGUCCAUCAAAGUCUAGCUUAGAAGCACAGUUAUUGGGAAAAAGCUUUGUAAGAGGAAGGGGUAGUUCAGCAUUAAGAUGUAUUGGGAAUUUAGUCCAACAGAUGAACACAGAGAAGGAUCAGGAACUAUCAUUGGCCAAGGCUUGUCUACAUGAGCUAGAAUCAGUAGCAUCAAGUCGACAAAAAGAGAAACAAACAAACAAACAAAUGUAGAAAAAGAAAAGAGAGAUGAUUACAAGGUAUGUGAAAGAGGAAUGGGCAUGGUUAUGUUCUUUAUGCACAGUGCUUCUUACUUCAAAAACAAUUCUAUUACCAUGAGAAAAGAUUGUCCAUGUCAUGUGCUACAAUCCAAGUUUACAAAGAGACAUCUGGAUUGACUGUGAAUGAUCCUGUUUCACAGACACACAAGUUUCUGUCUAGUUGAAUGCUGGAUUUUGAUAUCUGGUUUCCCUAAUAGUGGUUUGGAUUGAAUGAAAGAAGUAGCAAUGUAUCAUCAUUGAUCUGGAAAUCAAUUGCACUAACCUCUUCACUUACCUUCAGCCUCUGUCAGCGGAGUUGCUGUAAAUGAAGGAGAGAAUGUGGAUAUUAAAUUUACCAAUGGAGUUUCUAUAAACACCACCGUUUAACAUAUUUGCUGAUGUGAGCACCCAUUCUUAACUCCAAUCGAAGCAGAAAUCCCUAUAAUAUUCGGAGAAUGGUGGAAUUUACCUGUUUAUAUUUGAAACUGAAAUGAACCAGUAUGUGGCAGAUAAAUUGAAGAUAGGAAAAUGGAAUGUUAACUUAUUACAGGUAUGGAGAAUGCCAAAAUUGUGGGUUGGAUUUCUGAAAUGCAUUUCACAAACACAACCACAUUCUUUUCGUUUUUAUUAAAAGUAUGGGUUGUAUUGAAGCUUGGAUUCUUGGAAAAAGGUAUGUUACUACAUGUGUAUUAAAUUUUAAUAUUUUAUAACAUAGAUUGAUGAUGCUUAAAGCCUUUUUGAAUACUAAUGUGUUGAUGAUGAAAACAUAUAUCAUGUGGAAACAGAAGUAUAACAAUAAGAAGAUGCUCCUUAAUAGCAAUGUAGUAUUAGGUUAUAUAGUUAGCGAAAACCUCUUAAUGACAAAGUACAAUCAGAUCCCCUUAAUACCAAUGUAUUACAAUUUUAUGACAUGAUGUUAUGGAUGCA